AUUGACAAACAGGGGUGCUGUAAAAAGCUGAGAUUAUACCCUUAACCUGAUACAGGUAAUACUGACGUAGGGAGUUUAUGUAUUUUUUUA
rfam:Sneathia amnii strain SN35, complete genome.